CCCCACCUCCCUCUGAGCAGCAUUUCCCGGGAUGUCAAGGCUCCUGCCCUCAGGGGGUGACUGCAGCAGGGGGCCCCAGGACCACCACCUUUGUUCUUCGGUGGGCCCUGAGGGUGGUGGGCCCAGCAUCACAACUGGCCCCAGGACCACCGGGCAUUUCAGCUGAGACUUAAACCAGGGCCUGAGCCCCAUCCAGAGGGUCCUGUUGACCUGGGCCCCCGCCUAUGUCAGAACAGGAAGGGUGUGACAGACCCCAGAGAGCGAGCUGCACCUCGGCCUAUGCCUGCCCUGCAGGCCGAGCCAGGCGGUGACAGUGAUGAGCUGACGGUCCCUCGUGCUUCAGCCACCGUUCUGGCCAAGCGAACUGCUAUGGAGCUCACAGCCACUCAGACACAGGAAAGCUGAGGAGCAUGGGGGGAGUGGCCUUGGGGGACUGAAAGCCGGCCACGCGGCAGGAGAGGUCCCCAGAGAAGCCGGUGGUGCUCCAGCCUGCCUGCAGCAUCUCCACCCGGAGAGCGCUGACAGUGGCCCAUAAAUCAUCAUCAGUACCUCCUGCUCCAAAAACAGGCCCAUCCUGACAGCCGGUCUGCGGGGCGGCGAGCUCAGCGCCAGGCUCAAUCACCAGAGAAAUCAGUGUAAUCAGCAUGAAAUUGCAUCGGAAACAAAUUUAGCAAACACGGUCCCAUUUGGGGGUGUGACGUGGCCUGUUCGCAUAGCUCUGUCCCCUCCAGCUUUCCGGCGCAAUCAGCCCUGCCGAGGGCCUCAGGCCCGCCAGCGGGCACGUAAAAGCAGGCGCGGGUGGGUCUGUGGGCGCAAUUAGCGCUCAAAUCAAGCGGGGUGGGGGUGGGGGUGGUGCCAUCUGACUGUCAUGCACGGGGGAGCAUCCAGGCUCUUAGCCCUUACUGCCAAGGCCGGGCAGGCCUGCUGCGCAGGGCAGCACACGGUGUGGGGGUGUCUGGUGGCCAGAGUGAAGGCCCCAGCACGCUGGGCUGAGUCCUUCUGUGUGCCAAGCUCUGCACGAAGCCGUGGCGAUGGGGAGGCAGGGUGCAAGGCACAGUGCCUGGGAACACCCUGGUGACUGCACACGGGGGCCUGUGGUAGCGGCCAGCUGGACAGACAGGAAGGGCCACCUGGAGAGGGGCAGUGCCCCUCGGGCCAGGGUGACUCGGGCGGCCGUGCUCCACCAGGGAGCAGAGGCUGGGUCGGCAGCAUGCGAGGCCAAGGGUGGCCCAAGCUGAGGGGGACCCCGGGCCCCAAGAGAAGCAGAGGCUGUCUUAGGCUCCUUGGGAACCAAGGCGCGGGCCCUCAAUCGCACCUGGAGGCCGCGGGACCCUUCCGAGGCUCCUCCAGGGCGCCGAAGUCACCACGCGCCAGGCCCAAGCCGCCGCCCCACCCCGCACUUCCGCUUCCGGGCGCGUGGCCUCCUUCCUGUCACGUGACCUCCUUCCGGUCGCGUGCCACAGCCCUUCACUUCCGGCCGGGAGGAGGCUUCAGCGUUGCGGACUGAGGUGUGCGCCCCGAAGCCUCCACACUGUCCCCAGCCAGGCGUCUUCCUCGCCGCCCGCCGGCCCUUGCUGCCUCGUCUGUCAGCCCCCAGGCCGGACGCUCCCCCGCUCCCCACCGCCCGCGCCCCCCCGAGGCCCGGUCUCUCCGGGACGCCACUCCCAGGUGUGACGCUCAGGGGCCGGGGUGGGAGGUGGGCCGCGGAUCAGCCUGUAGUGCAGGGAGCUGCCCCUUUUCCUUUCCUCGUGCGAGUCGGUUUUCUGAGGGGCACGUUCCUCUCAAGUCUCUGCGGAAGGGCUCUCCCAGCUAGGAGCGCAGCCUUUGGACUCAGUACCCGCCUCCUGGGCCACACAGAGAGGAGCAGCCCUAGGCGACCCUGCGAGACUGCCCUGGAGGGCGCAGCCGUCGCGAGGGCCGGGGUCCUAGAGCCCCCCUCAGGCUGCCCCCAGUGCCGGCAGCACUGGAGUUCCACCAGCGAGGACUCAGGCAAGGGGCUGGGGGCCGGCGAGGGAGGCCCCUGCCCUCCCUGGUAAGAAAGGGGCAAAAGGAGGGGCUGGGGGAUAGCGCCCCUGUCCAGCAAGGCCGGCCGAGGCACAGAGAUACUGGUGGGGCCGCCAGCUGCAGGAAGGCGCCUGGGGUCCGGAAGAGGAGGCUGCUGAGCAGGGCAGGCAGCAGAGCGGCUUCCAGAGUCGCUGCAGAGGGGCUGCAGGUGCCCCUGAGCCGGGAUGUUCAGUGAGGACCGAGGCUGAGGACCAGAGGGCAGAAGCUUGGAAGCAAGAUUAAAUGAGCUGCAGCCAAUUAAGAAGUUACGUUGACAAGAUACGGUAGUGCUGUGUGCGUCUUCAACCCCAGAGGCCUUGCGGGCUCUGUCUGUGGCCCGAGUCCCUGGUCCGGGAGCCGCUCCCCCUCCACACCCAGGGGAGUGCGCCAGCAGGGCUGUGACCCCAGCUGACCAGUCAGAGCAUCCGUGCCGAUCAGGCUGAGCAUGCCACGUCAUCAGGAACAACUGUUUCCCCUGAAACUGCUGAAAAGAAUGAGUAGUCCUUAAUGUGGGGCCUCGGGGGCAGUGCCGACACCAGCUGCAAAGUGUGGGGCUAGGAGAUGAGGGGGCGAGAGACUCACUGCACGCAGCCCCGCCGGUAGACACGAUCUCCUGUGGCCUUCAGUUACUUAGCCAACAGACUCCUUUUUCUGGCUUUGCUCAAAUUGAUCUGCCGUGGGGAUGUGGAGUGAACCUCUCACUGCUGGAGGCUCUGCUGCUGGGAGAGUUAGACGGGCCACCUGAGCUGAGACUACUGCUGAUGAAAAACACACAGGAUGUAAAAUAGCUCAUUAAAAUUGUUUAUGUUGACAUGUUUGAAGUGAUAAUAAAGGGGCAGACAGGCUUACCUAAGAUGGUGUUAAAUUUUACACGUUCCUUUUAACUUUUUAAGUGUGCCCACUAGAAAAUUUAAGACUAUGUUUCUAGCUCAUUUUCUGGACAGAGUGGGACUAGACCAGUUUUCUAGAGAUGAAGAGCAUGUAUGUGUGUGUGCUGAUGUCUCUCUGAACUGUUGCGUCUUUGGAGAGUGAGUUCUGCUAACAGAGGCUUUCUUGGUUUCCUGUGCUGCGGUGGGUCUCCCCAAGCUUGGGGAGAGAACUGGGGAAGAGAGGAAAGGCUCUGAUUUGUGUUUCCUCAGCAGCUUUGCUGAGCUGGGGUCACAUCGCGUACAGUUCCCCACUCAGUGUACAGCUUGGGCUCCUAGUCACGCAGCGGUGCGGCCGCCACUGCAGUCCCUUCAGCACCCAGUCAUGACCCAGCAAAGCCCCCACACCUGGCGGCUUCCACUUGCGCCCUUUCUCCUGGCUCCUGCCCUGCUCGUCUGCUCACUGCCUCUGUAGAUCUGCCUGCUCUGGAUGCUUGAUGCAAACGCAGGCGCGCAAUACACGGCCGGUGGUGUCUGGUUUCUCUUCCUUAGUAUCAUGUUUUCAGGGUUCGUGUCCGUGGUAGCCUGCAUCAUGCCUCACUCCCUUGACGUCUGAAUGAUACUACCCUGCAUGGAUGUAUUCAUCCAUCUAUCAGUUGAAGGGCAUUUGAGUUGUUUCUUGACUUAAGGACAGUACUGCUGUGCACGUUUGUGUACAGGUUUGCACGUGAACAUACGCUCCUUCUCGCAGGCACGUCCCAGGACUGGGGUUGCGAGGUCACACGGUAACUCCAUAGUUAGUGCUUUAAGGACCCGCCUGACGUGUCCACAGUGUCUGCACCAUUUUACCUUCCCACUGUUACUGCACCAGGGGCUUCCCUGGAGGCUAUGGCAGCAGAGAAGCUGCCUUCAGUGCAGGAGACCUGGGUUCGAUCCUUGGUUUGGGAACAUUCCCUGCAGAAGGGAAUGGCAACCCACUCCAGUAUUCUUGCCUAGAAAAUCCACGGGCAGAAAAGCCUGGCAGGCUACAGUCCUUGGGGUUGCAAAGAGCGGAGCAUGGCUGGGUGCCUAACACACACGUUACUGCACAAGGGCCCCCGUUCGUCUGAAUUUGCACCAACACUAGUGAUCCUCCGCCUUCUGACCACUGCCAUCUUAGGGGUGUGAAGUCGUGCACCGUGGCUUUGAGUUGCGUUUCCCUGGCUGCUCGUGACACUGAGCAUCUUUUCGUCUGCUUAUUGGCCCCUUACUGGCUACGUAUUUUCUUUGGAGAAACAUCUACUCAGAUUUUUGCCCAUUUGUCUUUUCAUUAUUUAAUUGUAAGCGUUUUGUCCAUAUUACAGGUACACGUCCGUUAUCAGAUACAUGAUUUGCAGAAAUUCUUCUUGCAUUCUGAGUUUUCUUUUCACUUUUUUGGUUUGUUUUUGGCCAGGCCAGGCGGCUUGUUUGAGGGAUGACAGUUCCCCGAACAGGGUUUGAACCCAGGCCACGACAGUGAAAGUGCCAAAAUGUCAGGGAAUUCCCUCUGUUCACUUUUUUAAAUAUUUAAAAAAAUAUUAUUUUCCCUUUCUUGAUGUUGUGUUUUAAAUGCUUAGCUUUUAAUAAAAGAAUGAAAAAAAAAAAGAAUGAGAAAUCUGAUAUUGGGUUCAGGGUUAAGGGAUGGAACCCAGGAAACAGAGGAAGCAGGCAGGGUGGGGCCUGGGAAAGACAGAGGAGAAGGAACUCUGAAAAACAGAAUACGGAACCCUUCCAAGACUUUCACUUUGUGAUAAACUCUGUUUCUUUAAAUGUUUUCAAAAUUGUGGUAAAAUACAUAUAACAAACUUACGCCAUCCUUAUGUGUCAGGCUCAGCGGCAUUAAGUACAUUCACGUUGUUGUGCAGCGAUCACCACUACCAUCUCCAGAACUUUCUCAUCUUCUGAAGCUGAAGCUGUGUCCCUGUUAAACACUCGCCUUCCCUCGGCCUCUGGCUCUCACCAUGCUACUUUCUGUCUCUAUGGAUUUGACUCCUUUAGGGCCUUCAUCUAAGUGGAUCAUACAGUAUUUCUAAUUUUGUGAUCAGCUUAUAUCACUGACAUAAUGUCCUUAAGGUUCAUCCAUGUUGUCACACGAAUCAGAAUUUCUUUCCUUUUUAAGUCUCACUAGUUCUCCACUGUGUUGGAUGGACCAUGUUUUGUUUCUCCAUUCAUCUGUGGAUGGAUAACUUGGAGUACUUUUGCCUUCAGCUGUUGGGAACACAUCAUGAACAGGAGAGUGCAGAUACGGCUUUGAGACCCAGCUUUCAGUUCUCUUGGGUACAUGCCCAGGAGUGGAACUGCUGGGUCAUAUGGUUAUUCUGUAAAUGUUUUAAUUUUCUGAGGAACUGAUACGCUGGUUUCCACAGUGGCUGCACCACUUUAUAUUCCCACUAGCAAAGUGUUAGGGUUCUAAUUCCUCCACGUCCUUGUCAGCACUUGUGAUUUUCUGUGUUUUCUUUUCUUGUCUUUGUAACAAGGUGGUAUAUCAUUAUGGUUUUAUCAUUUGCAUUUCCUAAUGAUUAGUGAUGUUGAGCAUCUUUUUCAUUUGCUUAUUAACCAUUUGAAUAUUUUUUUGAGAAACAUCUAUUCAAAUCCUUUGCUUCUUUUUAAAACUGGAUUUUCGUUGUUGAGUUUCAGAGGUUCUCUGUAUGUUCUAGGUAUUCAUCUGUUAUCAUUAUGUGACUUGUAAAUAUUUUUUCCCAUUCUAUGAGUUGCCUGUUACUCUGUUGAUACUGUUUUUUAAUGCAUAAAAUUUUUUCAAUUU